rnacentral:lncRNA from 1 species
ACUACAACAGAAUUAGGUUAUAGGGACACAUGUUUGGGACACUUUUCAGUAAGUGUCCCAUUUAUGUUAAAACUUAAAAACACAUCUACUAAUGCCUAAAUAUAAAGCCCAAUCCAACCAAAAAUAAAAGAUUACUCUACUCAAUCCACCACACCCAGUCCAUUUGGCCCGAUUACAAACAGAAAAGAAAAAAAAAAGAAAAAUCAAUUACCAUCUUUUCUUCUCUCUUCACUCAAUUCACUGAAAUUCUAGACGAAGAGUCUUUCCUGUUGUCCUUCUCUGCAACCGCAGCCAACGAGAUAGAGUUUCGGCGGUUGCUAAAUACUUAAAUAAGUGUUGAUAAAUUAGCAGCACUCUUUUAGGUUAUAGCGACACUCUUUAACUGUCACUAUAUACCUAGCGACCCCACAUAUAGCAACACUUUUUAAAAGUGUCGGUAAUUUUAGCUAGCAGCACUUUUUUGACAUGUACCUACAUUUAAAAGUGUCGCUAUAGACCAUUUUUGUUGUAGUGUAAAUUGUUAGACUUUGUAGAUUAGCUAUAUUUAAUUAAAUUUUAAUAUUAAAAUAUUAGUCAUCUAAUAUAAAGUAUAUAGCGUAUUAAUAUACAUCAGGUGCAUAUAAAAUUUUUUUUUCUUUCUCCAAUCAAUUUUAACAAAAUAAAGACAUCCUCAUCUAUUCUUCACUAUGAAAUAAGUUCUCCAACUUUAACUUUUUAGUUACAAAAUUUAUUUAUAGGAUAGCUAUCAAAACUAUUAAGUUAAUUGAAUUUUUAAAUAAAGUAAUUAGAAUAAUUUAAUCCUAUAAAUAU